CCGCCACAGGGCUAAACGGGGGAACCAAGCGGAUGGGCUCAGCUGAUACCUGGCUGGAUGUUCCACCUUCGGAUUAACCCCGGGGACGGUUUGCAACCCAGGAGAUUUGUGUUUUGUUUUGGGUCUUUAGUUAGUGGCAGAGAAGAGCCAGCACCCUCCCCAGCUACAGCAUUUCCUUCCUGCCACCAUUAAUAAGGCAUCAUGAGGGCUGGAGAGCAAGACCAGAUGGCAAGGAAAAGACCAUUUUCCCUGAAGCUGCAGUGAAACCUCUGAUUUGAUUCACAAUCUCCAGGGUGGUAAAUAUGCUCCUGGCCCGUCCUGGCUGUCAUUUGAAAGCCUGACGAACCAGCUGCCUUUGAAGAAUUCGUCAGCCGGAGCAGGGUUGGCCCGUGACAGCCGUUGGCCCCGCCACAGCUGCAUGAUUCAGCCGAGCUGGUAUUUAGAUUUGACAGCCUGAUUGGCAGCACAGUCGUCUGAGUCAAUGCAGGGCUGUGAACGGUGCCUGCUUCAUUCUGAGCCAGACUCACAGCACAGUGAGAUCCCCGCCCCCGCCUCCCGCCACCAUGGGGGCUUGAGCCCCAGCCAGAGGGACUCUGCCUACCCCAUGAGCUCCAUCAACAUGGCUCAUCGGCUCCUGGGCCUUCCCACUGAGCGAGGGGCCUGUUUGGCCAGCCGGGGCAGCCCACGCAGGCUGCCAGGUGGGAACAACUUUUCCAGGUGGCUUCUGCACCGGGUGUCCCGGGAGCGAAAUCCCCCCUCGCCACAUGCUCAGUCUCUUCACCUUGGUAACAUCCUCCUGACCUGUGCUGCGUGUACACGCCCAGCCAUCGAUUCGUUCCCUCCAAGGGCCGGGACGUGCGGCCCCACCUGCCACUCCCCUGCGCCCCCGUCAGGGGGGUUCCGGGCUCGGUGCGGGCACAUCCUGCCCUCGCGCGGAGCACACACAAUGCUGCAACGGCCGGAGAUCCCCAGGGGAGAUAAAAACGCUGCUUUUGUUACUCGGCUCCUAUUUCCGGCUCCGCUGCGGCUGAGCGACAGGCCAGAAUUUCUGCAGGUCUGGCUGCAGCAGCGUCUGCACAGUCCUCGGGCAGAGCACUGGGGGCUGCUCAAUCUGUUCCCAGCGCAAACCUCUGCUACAGGCUUUCCCAGGCUCUGUAUGAAAUGAGGGGGUGUAGAACUAGAGGGGGGCAGAGCACACGACCCAGAGUCCAGCCCCCUCGCCCCAGCCUGGUUUGCGGCAUUGAAGAGACCGUGCAAUUGUGGAGGGCUGCACUGCCUGGGUUCCCCUGCAGUGGGCUAGGAACUGCCAAGCAACUCUGCCAUUGACUCACUCUAGGCCUGGAGCAAGUCCCUUCUCCUCUCUCGGCCUCCCUGUCCCCAUCUGCAAAGCCAAGCACGAGGGAGGGUAACAGGGUAACGUGAGAUGGAAACAGGACCGCCCAGAGGAUUCAGGGGGCCUGGGGCAAAGCAA